rnacentral:tRNA from 1 species
GGGGAUAUAGCUCAGUGGUAGAGUGCAUGCCUAGCAUGCACGGGGUCCUGGGUUCAAUCCCCAGUACCCCCU